rnacentral:rRNA from 1 species
UACGGGGGGGGCAAGCGUUGUUCGGAAUUACUGGGCGUAAAGCGUGCGCAGGCGGUAAUGUAAGACAGAUGUGAAAUCCCCGGGCUUAACCUGGGACCUGCAUUUGUGACUGCAUUGCUGGAGUGCGGCAGAGGGGGAUGGAAUUCCGCGUGUAGCAGUGAAAUGCGUAGAUAUGCGGAGGAACACCGAUGGCGAAGGCAAUCCCCUGGGCCUGCACUGACGCUCAUGCACGAAAGCGUGGGGAGCAAACAGG